rnacentral:rRNA from 1 species
AGCAGCCGCGGUAAUUCCAGCUCCAAUAGCGUAUAUUAAAGUUGUUGCAGUUAAAAAGCUCGUAGUUGAAUUUCGGAAUCAGUACGCCGGUCAUGCUUCGGUAUGUACUAGUGUCACUGAUUCCUUCCUUCUGACGAACCGUCAUGCCAUUAAUUUAGUGUGACGGGGAAUCAGGACUGUUACUUUGAAAAAAUUGAGUGUUUAAAGCAGGCUCGCGCUUGAAUACAUUAGCAUGGAAUAAUGAAAUAGGACGUUGAUCUUAUUUGUGGUUUCUUAGAUCGACGUAAUGAUUAAUAGGGAUAGUUGGGGGCAUUUAGAUUCAAUUGUUAGAGGUGAAAAUUCUUGGAUUUAUUGAAGCUAGCUACUGCGAA